rnacentral:ncRNA from 1 species
GGUAUAGAGGUUCUAAUUUAGAUUAAUAGGGAAGCUAGGUGAGAUUCCUUCGCAGCCCCCGUUACUGUGAUGCUGACUAUUUAUUCGAUAACCACUGCUAUUUUGCGGGAAGGUGAAUAAAUGGGAUGAAGCUAAGCCAGGAGACCUGCCUUAUAUACAA